CUGUAGCGGUAAAUGUGCAGCUAUUCAAAAGCUGAGGGACGUGGGUUCAAAUCCCACCGG
rnacentral:tRNA from 1 species